AAGUUAUUUUUACUUGAUUGUAAAGUGCUUGCUUAAUUCUUAUCUACUAGAUACUCUAUUCUGUACUUAAUUGUAUGGAAUAUCACCUAGCCAGUGGAACUUUGGUUGAAUAAUGCCUUUUUUAAUACCAGAGUGUAAAAACUUGAAGUGUUAAAUUGGGAUAACAUUAUUUUAUUGAAGUGGGGUUCUAGUUAAUUUACUUUGAGUAAAUUAGAGUGUUCAAAGCAGCCUCUUGGGGCUUUGAAUAGAUUUAGCAUGGGAUAAUAGAAUAGGAUUUGAUAAUCUAUUUGUUGGUUUGAAUUAAUCAAAUAAUGAUUAAUAGGGACAGUUGGGGGCAUUCAUAUUAAGUGGUUAGCGGUGAAAUGUGUGGACCCACUUAAGAUGAACUAAAGCGAAAGCAUUUGCCAAGGAUGUUUUCAUUAAUCAAGAACGAAAGUUAAGGGGAUCGAAGACGAUUAGAUACCGUCGUAGUCUUGACUGUAAACUAUGCCGACCAGGG
rnacentral:rRNA from 1 species